UACGAAGGGGGCUAGCGUUGCUCGGAAUCACUGGGCGUAAAGCGCACGUAGGCGGACUUUUAAGUCAGGGGUGAAAUCCUGGAGCUCAACUCCAGAACUGCCUUUGAUACUGGAAGUCUUGAGUUCGAGAGAGGUGAGUGGAACUGCGAGUGUAGAGGUGAAAUUCGUAGAUAUUCGCAAGAACACCAGUGGCGAAGGCGACUUACUGGACACAUAUUGACGCUGAGGUGCGAAAGCGUGGGGAGCAAACAGG
rnacentral:rRNA from 1 species